rnacentral:miRNA from 1 species
AAGCUGCCUUUUGAAGGGC